GCGCAGCAGGCGAGAAAACUUCACAAUGUGCGAAAGCACGAUGAGGGAAUCCCAAGUGCUUGCACGUAAGUGUAAGCUGUUUCUCUGUCUAAAACGCAGAGAGAGUAAGGGCUGGGUAAGACGGGUGCCAGCCGCCGCGGUAAUACCUGCAGCCCAAGUGGUGACCGUUAUUAUUGGGCCUAAAACGUCCGUAGCCGGUUUAAUAAAUGCCUGGGUAAAUUGUGUAGCUUAACUAUACGAAUUCCGGGUAGACUGUUAAACUUGAGACCGGGAGAAGUUAGAGGUACUCCUGGGGUAGAGGUGAAAUUCUGUAAUCCUAGGGGGACCACCAGUGGCGAAGGCGUCUAACUAGAACGGGUCUGACGGUGAGGGACGAAGCCCUGGGGCGCAAACGGGAUUAGAUACCCGUGUAGU
rnacentral:rRNA from 1 species